CAGGAGAAUUGCUUGAAGCCGGGAGGCGGAGGUUACAGUGAGCUGAGAUGGCACCAUUGCACUCCAGCCUGGAUGACAGGGCUGGACUCCUUCUCAAACAAACAGAA